GGGGGCGUAAAGGUUUCGACGGGGAUUCUGAGAUACGGUAAGCGAGCAGAAGCGCACAUCUUCUAUAAAAUGUGCAAAUUCAAAAUUAAACUCUAACAACAACAGAGCUUUAGCGGCCUAACGCCGCCGUCAUGCCGGAGAGGACUACGACUCCGGAUAUGGCGCGACACAGUAGUGAACGUGAACGGGACAAAGCUUUGCGCCCCGUCAUGAACUUAUGAAGCUACCCGACCCGGCAGCCUUCCGUUCGGCGUCCGGAGAGGGGAAUGCAAAAGAACGGAUACGCUCGUAGAAAGCUGUGUCAAGGGGUUUUCGGACAGGAGUUCGAUUCUCCUCGCCUCCACCA
rnacentral:tmRNA from 1 species